UACAGAGGUGGCAAGCGUUAAUCGGAAUUACUGGGCGUAAAGGGUCCGCAGGUGGUUCAGUGUGUCGGAUGUGAAAUACUACAGCUUAACUGUAGAAUGGCAUUCGAAACUGCUGAACUAGAGUUCUGGAGGGGAGAAGGGAACAGUUGGUGUAGCGGUGAAAUGCGUAGAUAUCAACUGGAACACCGGUGGCGAAGGCGCUUCUCUGGACAGAUACUGACACUCAUGGACGAAAGCUAAGGUAGCGAAAGGG
rnacentral:rRNA from 1 species